UACGAAGGGGGCUAGCGUUGCUCGGAAUCACUGGGCGUAAAGGGUGCGCAGGCGGCCUCGCGCGUCGCGAGUGAAAUCUCCCGGCUCAACUGGGAGGGUGGUCGCGAGACGGCGGGGCUUGAGGCUCGGUGAGGGGCGUGGAAUUCCGGGUGGAGCGGUGAAAUGCGUAGAGAUCCGGAGGAACACCAAUGGCGAAGGCAACUUCCUGGGGCAAUACUGACACUGAUGUGCGAAAGCGUGGGGAGCAAACAGG
rnacentral:rRNA from 1 species